AGAGACAGGUCCUUGCUCAUCAAAAAGCAGAAAAAGGACCCUCAGAGAUGAAAGACGUGGGGCUGGGACACACGCUGAAGUGUAAGCAGCAGCUCCACGCUGCUGGAGGAUGACGGCCUGGAGAAGAGGAUCACGUCUGGAGCUACCAUGUGCUCAGGGUGCUGAUGAGCGGGUGAUUCCUGAACAAAGCUUUGACAAGCAAGAAACAGCUUUUGAAAUGGAAGGAGAAGGAGUGCUUUCUUGGUUUCUGAGUUUGGCAUUCUUUACAUUUUGUGCUUAUUUAUUUAUCUAUUUAUUUUGAAGAUUUUCGGUUUCUUUUUUCCACUAAGUUGGCCCGGGCUGAGCACUGCAAUCGAUAUGUCUCUUCUGAUAUAAGUACUAUGUCCUUUAAUUACCAGAAACAGCCUCUGAGCUUUUCGUACAGCCUUUCACGUGCCUAUGCCUUUGCUCUGCUGUCUGCCACACUCCUUUGCUGUGUUCUCUACCACUGCUGCCCCCAAGGCAGGCAUCUUUCCUGAAUGGUGAAAGUUUAUUUAUUCUUCAAACCUAGUUCAAACGGUACCUCUUGGAUAAGGCCUUCAGUGCCCCUUGGCAAUCCUUUUUUCCCAAGCAAAAUUCAUCAUUCCCUGCUCCAUCUCCCCACCCAGAGAAUUACAGACAUUUUGAUACGGUACAUACACAUAUGUGUGGACAUCAAAUGGUUAAAGAGAAAAACUUCAGCAGUGCAGGAGAGAGAUCGUCAGAAGUCCCCUUGUUGCCACUGGGAGAAUGAAGACAAUGCAGUACAGGCAGCAAUCACGAAGGAAAUGAUUCCAAAGAAGUGGAGAAAAGAGGAGACAGCUUUUCUAGAUAGUUUCUAAACCAGAAAACUUUCGAUGGCUGUCCGCAAUCAGAGGGACCUCUAAUACGACUCAUCUCCAGCACAGUGCAGAGAGGAGAAGAUGGUUUGUAGUAGUCAUUUUAUAGAGUUCAUUUUAGAGGAGACCCAAGUCUCCUGAAAAUUUUGCAUUUGCCCAGAUGUGUACUGUUCCAACUAGGAAUGGAAACAGACAGUGCUACAGAAACGUAAUUAUUAAAGCAUCCUAAGUUUAGACUCUAAACUGUAAUGUCAGAACAGCUUUUUAAAAUUGAAGACAGAAUUCUCUGUAGUUAAUAAAAAUCACUCCAGUAGUAACUAAUAUGACCAAUCUUCCAGGUUAAGCUGGGACAUGGACUAAGUGGAACAGAGAUGGCAAAUAACAUAAACAGCAAAGGUAAACACAAGAAUCCAGAGAGUCAGGCGUGACGUGUUUCGCAUGGCCACUUGUGGUGCAGAUUUUACUGGUGUAUCAGUGAAGACGGGUGCUGAGUGCAUCCAGACCUCACUUAUCUCUGUGCAGUUUGGAGGGUGGAGUAGGGGUGUGUGUGCACCUGUGUGCAGGAGAACAAUACUGUGACAUCGGGACCUGCUGCCCUACUUCCAACCACACAGAGCUCACUGACUGUGCUUUACUGACUCAGAGGAAGGAUGCGUCAACCAAAAGCAGAGAAAGGGGAGCCUCUUUUGAAUCUCCAAAACCAAAACCCCGUAAAAAGCACGGGAGAUGAAAAGCAGAGGUUCCAACGUCCAGGAGAAUGAUAUCGCGUUCCUUGUUGGGUGAAAGAGGAGCGCUGGAGGGGAAGUGAGGAGUGCUUAAACAAGGGGUACAUCUUUUCUGCAGGCGGGGAAGGUGGGAAGGAUGCCCACGCAGGUGUGUGGGGGUCCAAGAGCAAGGGCUUACCCAGGACCCUAGCGUGCAAGAAGACUGUGGAGAAGCAACCGCGGGGCACCAGCGCUUUGAGAGUUUGGUGGAAUUGCUAGUAUUAAGGUAGGCAAUGACCAGUAAGAUUGUCCUGCUCUUGGCUUGUCUUGGCUCUAUCUUGGCUUGGAAUAGAGGUGGGAUGUGGACAGCCUCUGAGAGUGUUUCAUACCUUGAUGCAGCCUAGGAGCAGCCAAAUAAUUUCUCAGGGGCUCAAGAAUGGCCCCCUCACACAGCAUAAGGAGGCUCAGGCUGGAUGAGACCCUGCACACAUGAUUAAGGGACUGUGGGCUGAUGGCGGCCUUCACAGCGGAAGCCAGAAUCAUCCGGUGAUGACGAAGAACAGGACGCCCUCUGAGAGCCGUGGCACUGAAUGGGAUGCCCUCGCCCCCUCUGAGUGACCUCGAACCUAUGUGGAAUCAAGAACUGCCUAGGUUUCAAGGGAUGCUCAAUUUAGCCACAAGGGGAAUUAAUUUAUAAAGCAAGGUGAGUAAUCAAGAAGACAAAAAUGUUUAUUUUGGGCCCGGCUGAGCUUGCAGUGAGGCCUGUGAAUUUUGGUGUUUUGUACAAUUGCGUAAGUCUUCAUCUACCCAUCAUUUACACCGUGAACUCCUUAGUCGUUGCUUUCAUAAGCCCAAACUGUGUGACCCAGAGAGGGGCUUAAUAAACAUGCACCAAACGAGUUCAAGAAUGUUCCUAACGUAGGGGUCAGUGAUUUAUAAUUCUUUUAUGUCCCCCUCACCUCAAAUUCUGGCAGAUUUGGGGGCACAGAAUCAGGGCUCGAUACUCACUGAGUGAAUGAACAAUAACAACAACAACAACAACAACAACAACAACAAAUAAUAAUAAUAAUAAUAAUAAUAAUAAUAAUAAUAAUAAUAAUAAUAGAUAAAAUAUGUGUCAUCAGAGGAAUAUUCAAUGUCCUCAGCAAAGAAAAGUGAAUCUGCCUCUUGGUCCAUUUUUACUAGUUAUGUGUCUAAAGAUCUGAGCAGGGUAAGCCCCUUGAUAUAUUCAUAUCUUUUCCUGCCCUGAGAAUAAACAAUUGUUAUUGAACUUGAGACCUAAGAAAACAGAUUAAUGCUUUUUAGAAACUACUACAAAGAAGAAACUAACACCUACCCAUUUUCCAUCUCCCAUCCCUACUUCAAAACUCUUUCUGAUUCUUUUAUUAAAAUGCAAAAACUUGCUAAGAAAAAAAUACUUCUUCAAGUGUUGCUCAGUAAUCAAAGACUUAAAAGCAUGAUACAAGGCCCCUGUGUCCUUAUUAUAUGAUCACAUUUCAGAAAAGGGUUUGAUUUCUCUCUAUACUGACUUUGGCUGGGUCUCCUCCCUCACGUUCCACUCCUCCAGUGACCAGGCUUCCCAGCCGGGACUCCAGGAUGGGAUUCUGACCAUUGAGCCCCAGUUUCUGGGAGGAUGAACUCCAGCACUCUGGGGCAAGCCAGUGCUUCCCUUGGGUUGAACCCAGGUUCUAGACCUACUGUCUGGACCCACAUGCCUCCCUGCCUGCCCAACUCCAUCCAAGAUGCUCCACGUACGCAUCUUGCAUCCCCCCAAACCUGAUCACCUACCAAGUCUGUUUCAAAACCUACAAUGGAUUCCCAUUUCCUACUGCAGAUUUCCCCUUCUGCUUAUCUGGAGCAUGUUUUGUUCAAAGCAUUAGUCAAGAUGAGCUAACUGCUUUAACAACCCAUCCAAAAUUUGUAGUGGAUUAACACGCAGAAUUCUACUUUUUGCACACAACACAGUUUGAUGCAUGUCAGAAAGGAAAUGGGGCUCUGCCCCAAGUGGCCUCUCGGGGACCAAUUUUCCUUCCGUCCAGUGACUCUGCCCUGGCCCAGGUCUUCCCAGACCUCAUCAUUCAACCAGAAGGUGAUAAGAGGGACUGGGACUGGACAUAGGAGGUCCUCAGAGCAGGCCUGGUGGCAGCACUCUCACUUCUACUCACAGUGCACUGACCAGAACUCAGUUAUAUGAGCAGCCCCAGAUGGAAGGUGUCAAGUGGUGGCUGAGACAAGAGAGAACACGCUUUGGGGAGAACCAGUAAACUGAGUCAUAAUUGUAUAGCUUUCACUGCUGAAGAUACAUGGUUCCCAAAGUUUUUAGUCCAAAGUGUCUAUUAUGCACAAGACAGACUAUACCACCCUAACUAGAUCAGGCCACAGGGAUCUAGCUUAACUCUUAUUUGCAGUCACAUUCUUUUCUAACUUGAAGAAGUGAGCCAUGCAUGGGUGAGCAGAGAUCACCCAUACCAGUCAUAUGAAUUAUCUUCAAUUUCCAGUUUAUGUACCUGAACUCAAUUCUGUAUUUUGCUUUAAAUAAUUUCAUCACGGGUGAACGUUUUAGAUUGCUGAUAGAAACAUUUCGAUGCUGAAAGAAUACUUAAGUCACAUUUGCUGUUUAUUAAUUCAAUAGGAACCCAAAUAUGUGCAACACACACAUAGUACUAAAUGGUUCAAAGUGGAGAAUGUUAAUAACUGCAACUAUCAUUUGAGUUGAGAAAUACUGAACAGAACAGGAUUUCCUCCUGAUCUAGCCUCGGCCCACUUCUUCAGAAUCAUCUGCACACUCAAGGAUAGAAACGCAGAGGGGCCGCACGUCCACUCUCCCUUUGCUGUCAAGCUGAAUUCAUUGACUGGGGGGUAGGCAAGGUACCGAACAGCAGUGGGUGAGCAUGGUGACAUGGGCAUAAGGUCAAGGUAAACGUCCUCCUUUCAAGUCACUGUGGCCCCUCAUCUCACAGCCAAGGCCUCUUGAGAGAAGACCACAGAAGCCUAGAAGGAUCUGUUUGGUUUAAGAAACAUGUAAUCCUUUGACCAGAAGCUGGUUUUCGAGGUCACUCUCUUUCUCUAGGAAAGCAGGUAUAGAUUUCCUAUGGAUGACAGAAGCUAGCAUAUCUCCAGCUUUUGGUUAAUAAUUCACAAAGCAAGCUAAGGACCGUUUUGUAUGUUUUUUGAAGCCAGACCAUGGAUGAUAGAAUGCUUAAUUCUUAGUUAGAUAGAGAUCACAUGUCAGCCUAGCUUUCACCAUAUACUUUUAUUGUGUUUCAUAACUGUAUGUUAGAAGAAGACAAGUGUUGGCAUUAGACUCGCCUGUUGAAAAUUAUCUCCCAUAGUUAGAGCCUGGGUGGAACUUCUGUUUAAACAGGAUCUACAACGUCCAAGGCCAGGGAGAAAUGUGAGCAUUGUUUCAGGAAGGUCUCUUCUAUCCCUCCUUUCCUUCCUCUGGGUCGUCUGUAUAGUUUAGGUGAUUUUUUUUUUUGCCCAAGGUUGCCUGUUCCAUCACUUAACACUAAUACAUGCCAGCCAGGGGCAGGUCCACCAGGAAGCCAGGGGAGCUUGCAAUUCAGGGCCCUCCCAUAUAAGGGGCAUUUCUAAGACCCUGGAAGGAGGAACUGUGUUCAAAUGAUCCACGUAUUUUAGCAAAAUUUGCCAAAGACAGAUAUUUAUAUUGCAAUCAGUUAAGACUGCUAUUUCCCAUCUCAUUUCUCUUCGUUGUUGAGCGGUGUUGGAGUGGCCAAGGGCAUUUCGGGGAGUAGCCAAAGGGAAGUUGCACUGGGGAUUUAUUUUCUUUGGGUGGAAUGAGGUAUUUACAUGACAUGUAGUUAGUUCUCUGUACAAUUAUUGAGCUAAUACAUUUCGUGUGUAGAGAUAUCUUCCAGGAACAGAAGCACAGACACAUCUCAGAGUUCAUUGCUGGUGCAGGUCUAGAACACUGCAAUAAAGCAUGUGAUAGAGAUUUUUUGGGGGGGGUUUCUAAUACAGAUGUAUUAUAGUUAUACUAUACUUUAGUCUAUUAAGUGUGCAAUAGCAUUAUAUCUAAAAAACAGUGUACACACCUUAAUUAAAAAAAUACCUUAGGAGUUCCCGUCAUGGCUCAGUGGUUAACGAAUCCGACUAGGCACCACGAGGUUGUGGGUUCGAUUCCUGGCCUCGCGCAGUGGGUUAAGGAUCUGGCAUUGCCGUGAGCUGUGGUAUAUAGGUCGCAGAUGCGGCUUAGAUCCUGUGUUGCUGUGGCUCUGGCGUAGGCCGGCGGCUACAGCUCCGAUCAGACCCCUAGCCUGGGAACCUCCAUAUGCUGCGUGUGUGGCCCUAGAAAAGACAAAAAGACAAACAAACAAAAAACAAACAAAAAAACCCAACAACUCUUUACUGGGAGUCCCUACUGUGGUGCAGCAGCAACGAAUUCAUCUAGUAUCCAUGAGGUUUCGGGUUUGAUCCCUGGCCUUGCUCAGUGGGCUGGGGAUCCUGCAUUGCUGUGGCUGUGACGCAGGCCAGCUGUAGCUCUGACUCAGCCCGUAGCCUGGGAACUUAUAAUAAUAAUGAAAAAGGUUUGAAAUAUUGCCAGAAUUACCAAAAUGUAACACAGAAACACAAAAUGAGCAAAUGCUGUUAGAAAAAUGAUGCCGAUAGACUUCCUUAAAGCAGGGUUGCCACAAAUCUUCAAUUUGUAAAAGACGCAAUAUUUGUGAAGUGCAGUAAAGUGAAGUUCAAUAAAAUGAGGUACGCCUGCAAUGGGCCAAUUCCUGGAUUACACGAUAAUUCAAUGAAAGAAGAGGAGUAAAUCAUUCAUACGAUGUAUUGAACGAACAAGGUUUUAAUCUCCUACCGAUUUGACACAAAAUAUUGACUUCAAUGAAGAAAACAGGAAACUCAUUCACCCCAGGAUAUGAUAUAUGAUGCUCUGCUUGAUGCGUGUUAUCAAUUCAAAGAAUAUUUAGGAUUAGGCGUGGUGCAAGAAAACGCCAAACAACCUUAAAUCCUAUAGCUCAUAUAUGAACUGACAGAGGUUUCCUCAUUCUUGACAACAAUUGUAAGAAAAAAAAGUAAGACAAUGCCAAUAAAAAAUCACGAAGCUGAAAGUUUCAGCUAGAGAGGAAAGACUGAAAUUGAAUUAUCUUUCCAUUCUCUCUGCAGAAAAUGUCAUGACAAUAUUGUUGUCAGAGGAAAAGCAGGUCAAAGAGCAGCCAAGAAAAUGUGGAAAACAUAUAAAGGUGUCAGGCUGUUCACAAAUAAAAGUCUGUUUCUAU
ensembl:lncRNA